rnacentral:rRNA from 1 species
UCAUUACCGAGUGCGGGCCCUCGUGGCCCAACCUCCCACCCUUGUCUCUAUACACCUGUUGCUUUGGCGGGCCCACCGGGGCCACCUGGUCGCCGGGGGACAUCUGUCCCCGGGCCCGCGCCCGCCGAAGCGCUCUGUGAACCCUGAUGAAGAUGGGCUGUCUGAGUACUAUGAAAAUUGUCAAAACUUUCAACAAUGGAUCUCUUGGUUCCGGCAUCGAUGAAGAACGCAGCGAAAUGCGAUAAGUAAUGUGAAUUGCAGAAUUCCGUGAAUCAUCGAAUCUUUGAACGCACAUUGCGCCCCCUGGCAUUCCGGGGGGCAUGCCUGUCCGAGCGUCAUUUCUGCCCUCAAGCACGGCUUGUGUGUUGGGUGCGGUCCCCCCGGGGACCUGCCCGAAAGGCAGCGGCGACGUCCGUCUGGUCCUCGAGCGUAUGGGGCUUUGUCACUCGCUCGGGAAGGACUGGCGGGGGUUGGUCACCACCAAAAUUUUACCACGGUUGACCUCGGAUCAGGUAGGAGUUACCCGCUGAACUUAAGCAUAUCAAUAAGCGGAGGAAAAGAAACCAACCGGGAUUGCCUCAGUAACGGCGAGUGAAGCGGCAAGAGCUCAAAUUUGAAAUC